rnacentral:rRNA from 1 species
GACGAACGCUGGCGGCGUGCUUAACACAUGCAAGUCGAACGGAAAGGCCCUGCUUGCAGGGUACUCGAGUGGCGAACGGGUGAGUAACACGUGGGUGAUCUGCCCUGCACUUCGGGAUAAGCCUGGGAAACUGGGUCUAAUACCGGAUAGGAGCCAUUUUUAGUGUGAUGGUUGGAAAGUUUUUUCGGUGUAGGAUGAGCUCGCGGCCUAUCAGCUUGUUGGUGGGGUAAUGGCCUACCAAGGCGGCGACGGGUAGCCGGCCUGAGAGGGUGGACGGCCACAUUGGGACUGAGAUACGGCCCAGACUCCGACGGGAGGCAGCAGUGGGGAAUAUUGAACAAUGGGCGCAAGCCUGAUGCAGCGACGCCGCGUGGGGGAUGACGGCCUUCGGGUUGUAAACUCCUUUCGCUAGGGACGAAGCUUUUUGUGACGGUACCUAGAGAAGAAGCACCGGCUAACUACGUG